rnacentral:rRNA from 3 species
UGGGGAAUAUUGCACAAUGGGCGGAAGCCUGAUGCAGCAACGCCGCGUGCGGGAUGACGGCCUUCGGGUUGUAAACCGCUUUCAGCAGGGACGAAGCGUGAGUGACGGUACCUGCAGAAGAAGCACCGGCUAACUACGUGCCAGCAGCCGCGGUGAUACGUAGGGUGCGAGCGUUGUCCGGAUUUAUUGGGCGUAAAGAGCUUGUAGGCGGUUGGUUGCGUCGAAAGUGCAAACUCAGGGCUUAACUCUGAGCCUGCUUUCGAUACGGGCUGACUGGAGGAAGGUAGGGGAGAAUGGAAUUCCCGGUGGAGCGGUGGAAUGCGCAGAUAUCGGGAGGAACACCAGUGGCGAAGGCGGUUCUCUGGACCUUUCCUGACGCUGAGAAGCGAAAGCGUGGGGAGCAAACAGG